CGGUUGAUCUUUGUUGAUUGACCUUGUUAUUAUUUCGUACCAGUGCAAGUCUCGAAGUUAUACUUUUCAUAUAAUUAGGUUAAGCAGUGACUCACCAUGAUGCGGUUAACGUGGAGCGCGCAGAACCGGCGCGGCGGGAGGACUGCGGGUGAGGGCGGUGCGGCGCGACGGCGGAACGGCUGCUACUCGCCAGUGUGCAGCGUCAAAUCUCCUCACUUCCUCCUGAGCCGAUUGAACGGUUUGUUAGAGUGCGCAUGCCCAGCGAUGCAGACCGACGCGCUUUGUAACGAUUGCGACGCCCGCCGAAGGUUCAGACUUGCUGUCUCCGGCGCCAAGAGGGAAAUUUAAACGAUGCGAUGCAGCAAAUGUAAACCUUAAUGCGUCAUCGUUGUUAAUAAUUUAUUUCUAUUGUAUCACAACAUUACUUUCAUGACUUGUAAGUCAUAGAAGUCUUCUAUGACUUUAAGUACACUUUGUAAGCGAAGUUGCAAUAAUGAAAAAGGCAUAUUAAAAUUUUAAGAAACGUGUAUUGUA